CGCUUUCUAGGCUCUCCACUGCUUCGUUCUCUCUCUUCAUGGCUUCCCCAGCGAUGAAGAAGGCUAUAUUUCAUCUACGCGGCAAUGUUUCGUUUAUCUAUAUCAUCUGCAAACCCCUAAAUCCUGCGCCUCAAUGGAUUGUCUUUCUAAAUUUCAAUUGAUAGGGCCAUUAGCGCAGUAUAAGAGCUUAGUUGAGCAAGGGAAGAUGCAACAUGAUCCGAACCAAGGUUAUUUAUAUGGAAUUGAUUUCACUGGCCAUGAAUGAGAAUAGAUAAAGAGAGAUGAGGGGAGCUUUUCCACCAGUUAGAGAAACAUGAGCAAUUCUCUGUAGCUAAUGCAAGGGUUCUCUUUAGGCAUCUGAUUCAGGUAGUUUUAUAUUGUCAUGAAAAUGGGGUUUCCAUAGAGAUUGGAAGCCUGAGAAUAUUCUGUUGGACAAAAGCCUCUUCAUCUCCCUGUUAAGUUGGCAGGACCAGUUAUGCAACUUACAUCAGGCCUGGUCAGAGUUUGCACGGUUCGGUGUAAGUCCGUUUUAUAUAGCGCCUGAGGUACUUGCUGGGGUGCUGAUGUUUAGAGUGCAGGGGUAAUUCUUUGCAUUCUUCUUAGAGGAAUACCACCAUUUUGGAGGAAGACAAAGUCAAGCAUAUUUGAUGCUGUUAGGACAACUGAUCUGAGGUUCCCAUCUGAUCCCUGGGAUGGCAUCAUUGAAUUAGCUAAUGAUUUGAUUCGAGGAAUGCUCUGUAAAGAUCCUUCUAAAAGGUUCGCCGCUCACCAAGUUUUAGGUAGUUUAAGCAAUGACUGCAGUAAUAGAGUUUGCUCAAAUGCUGAUCUUAGAUGCUAAAAGCCUGUAGCUAGCCAUUGAUACUCACUGUUGUCCUUAUUUGGCUUCUGAUAGAAAAUGUUUUAUAAAUGAUCUAUGUAGUUCAGAGCCAUGUCCUCCCCCUUCUUACUAAAAAGAAGACGCUCCUUAAGAAUCUGAGAUCAUUCUAGCUAA